UGACUGUCAGGCCACCUUAAGCCACAGUACGGAAGAAGCUGUGCUGCCUGUGAGCCCCGUCCAAGGACGUUAAAAGAAGAAGUCAGGCCCCAAAGCCACGGUUUGAGCAAACCGUGCUGCCUGUAGCUCCGUCGUGGGGACGUAAAAACCUGGGAGGCUGCAAACUGUGGAAGCUGUACGCACAGUGUAGCAGACUAGUGGUUAGAGGAGACCCCUCCCAUGACACAACGCAGCAGCGGGGCCCGAGCACUGAGGGAAGCUGUAC
rnacentral:lncRNA from 1 species